GUCUAUGGCCAUACCACCCUGAACAUGCCCGAUCUUGUCUGAUCCUGGAAGCUAAGCAGGGUCAGGCCUGGUUAGUACUUGGAUGGGAGAAAAAUAAAGGUGAUGGUGAUG
rfam:Erinaceus europaeus unplaced genomic scaffold scaffold00006, whole genome shotgun sequence